rnacentral:rRNA from 1 species
AUGAGUGCUCCAUCCCUAGAGCUCGAGAAGGACGAAGAAGCAGCGGUGGUUGGAGAUGGGCAGAGAUACGAGGUGUGCUCUGAAGCUACAAGCGGCUGGACGAGGAGGGUGAGGCUCGGGAAAGCACCUGGUGAGAGGGACAUGAACCACGACAGGAAAACCGCGGUUGAGCUGUCUGUCCGUGCUUAUGCUGAAAAAUGUGAAGGGCAUGUCAUCAAUCCAACAAUUGGCACGGAAUUUGACUCGUUGGAUGAGGCAUAUGAGUUCUACAACCUAUAUUCAUGGGAAACUGGGUUUGGUAUACUGCUGGCGAAGAGCAGGCUCAAUGUGCAGAGAACAAGAUGUAUGCAAGAGAUUGUGUGUGCAUGCGCGGGUGAGUGUGGGAAAAGCAUAUCUGGAGAAUUUGGAGAGGGAGGCCUGACCGAAAAAGUGCUCGCAAGCUAA